AAGGAUCAUUAUUGAAUAAACUUGAUGGAUUGUUGCUGGCUCUUCAAGAGCAAGUGCACGUCUGUCAUUUUUAUCUUUCCACCAUGUGCACCGUGCAUAGAUCUGAAUAUCUUUUAAUCAACCUUGAUUCUGGGAAUUGCUGUUGCAUUAAUGGCUUUUCCUGUAUUCAGAUUCUAUGAAUUUUUAAAUCUACUCCAAUGUAUGUUUAUGAACGCUAUUGAAGGCUUUUUACAGCCUAUAAAUAUAUUAUACAACUUUCAGCAACGGAUCUCUUGGCUCUC
rnacentral:misc_RNA from 1 species